UUCUAUUAGUACAAUUGUUCGUAAGUCACUAGCAAUGACUUAAGUAAUUAUAUUCUUAAGUAAUUGUUCUCUUAAGAAAUUAUUUUCAUUAGUAAUUAUUCUCACAAGUAACUAUUUUCUUAAGUAAUUAUUAUCUUAUGUAUUUACACGGUGUAAACACUUUUAUUAUUUUGUAUUUAGAGAUUUAAAGUGAAACGUCAUUUAUUGAUUGCGUUAUUGCGUAGGUUCAGGUUGCGUACAAACUUUUACGCGUUUGCAGUUUUAAGAACGCGCCUGGAAAUUACAUCAACAGUUUCGAGUUGUCUGCUUGUCACUUGUCAGUUUUUUUUUUCCAAAAGUCAGACAAGAGUUAAUUGCUGGUUAAUUGAGGCUCAAAAGUCAAAAUAUGCGUUGUUUGUGAAAAAUAUUUUGUCUUGGAAUCAAAUUGUUACACCAGUUAAAGGAAACAGGAGUUUCAUCAGAAGACAAAAGAUAAAGCAUCAUCAGUACUACAACCAGGUGGUAUUGGAUGUCAACGUAUUUUAAAAUGCUUCCCUCCAGGUAUUAAUGAAAAUUUUCAAGCAGACCUCCAAGUAAAAGUCACAGAGCUGAUAAUAAGAGUUCUGAUAGCAAAUGAAGGUCUCCAUUACUAUCAGGUUAUAGCAAAAUUAAAUUACGAAGAUGAUCCUCUUACAAUUAAUAUGC